rnacentral:rRNA from 1 species
GGUACACGAGCGGCGAACGGGUGAGUAACACGUGGGUGAUCUGCCUUGCACUUCGGGAUAAGCCUGGGAAACUGGGUCUAAUACCGGAUAUGACCCUGGAAUGCAUGUUCUGGGGUGGAAAGAUUUAUCGGUGCGAGAUGGGCCCGCGGCCUAUCAGCUUGUUGGUGAGGUAACGGCUCACCAAGGCGACGACGGGUAGCCGACCUGAGAGGGUGACCGGCCACACUGGGACUGAGACACGGCCCAGACUCCUACGGGAGGCAGCAGUGGGGAAUAUUGCACAAUGGGCGAAAGCCUGAUGCAGCGACGCCGCGUGCGGGAUGACGGCCUUCGGGUUGUAAACCGCUUUUGACAGGGACGAAGCGCAAGUGACUGUACCUGUAGAAUAAGGACCGGCCAACUACGUGCCAGCAGCCGCGGUAAUACGUAGGGUGCGAGCGUUGUCCGGAAUUACUGGGCGUAAAGAGCUUGUAGGCGGUUCGUCGCGUCUUCUGUGAAAACUUGGGGCUCAACCUUAAGCUUGCAGGCGAUACGGGCGGACUAGAGUACUUCAGGGGAGACUGGAAUUCCUGGUGUAGCGGUGAAAUGCGCAGAUAUCAGGAGGAACACCGGUGGCGAAGGCGGGUCUCUGGGAAGUAACUGACGCUGAGAAGCGAAAGCAUGGGUAGCAAACAGGAUUAGAUACCCUGGUAGUCCAUGCCGUAAACGGUGGGUACUAGGUGUG